rnacentral:tRNA from 1 species
GUUUCUCUAAUAUAAAAAAGUAUUUCCGUCUUCCAAACGGAUAGUUCAUCAGUAAGAUGAGAGAAAUA